AGGAAUAUUGGUCAAUGGACGAGAGUCUGAACCAGCCAAGUAGCGUGAAGGAUGACUGCCCUAUGGGUUGUAAACUUCUUUUAUAUGGGAAUAAAGUGCAGUAUGUAUACUGUUUUGUAUGUACCAUACGAAUAAGGAUCGGCUAACUCCGUGCCAGCAGCCGCGGUAAUACGGAGGAUCCAAGCGUUAUCCGGAUUUAUUGGGUUUAAAGGGAGCGUAGGCGGAUUAUUAAGUCAGUUGUGAAAGUUUGCGGCUCAACCGUAAAAUUGCAGUUGAUACUGGUAGUCUUGAGUGCAGCAGAGGUAGGCGGAAUUCGUGAUGUAGCGGUGAAAUGCUUAGAUAUCACGAAGAACUCCGAUUGCGAAGGCAGCUUGCUGGACUGUAACUGACGCUGAUGCUCGAAAGUGUGGGUAUCAAACAGGAUUAGAUACCCUGGUAGUCCACACAGUAAACGAUGAAUACUCGCUGUUUGCGAUAUACAGUAAGCGGCCAAGCGAAAGCGUUAAGUAUUCCACCUGGGGAGUACGCCGGCAACGGUGAAACUCAAAGGAAUUGACGGGGGCCCGCACAAGCGGAGGAACAUGUGGUUUAAUUCGAUGAUACGCGAGGAACCUUACCCGGGCUUGAAUUGCAACUGAAUGAUGUGGAGACAUGUCAGCCGCAAGGCAGUUGUGAAGGUGCUGCAUGGUUGUCGUCAGCUCGUGCCGUGAGGUGUCGGCUUAAGUGCCAUAACGAGCGCAACCCUUAUCGAUAGUUACCAUCAGGUUAUGCUGGGGACUCUGUCGAGACUGCCGUCGUAAGAUGUGAGGAAGGUGGGGAUGACGUCAAAUCAGCACGGCCCUUACGUCCGGGGCUACACACGUGUUACAAUGGGGGGUACAGAAGGCAGCUACACGGCGACGUGAUGCUAAUCCCUAAAGCCUCUCUCAGUUCGGAUUGGAGUCUGCAACCCGACUCCAUGAAGCUGGAUUCGCUAGUAAUCGCGCAUCAGCCACGGCGCGGUGAAUACGUUCCCG
rnacentral:rRNA from 1 species